GGAGACUUGAAUAGUCCUCAGAUUUCUUCCUUCUGCAUAACUGGGCUGUGAGUAAGAGCAACGAGAAAGAAGUGAAGGGUAAGAGCCCACCCCCGUUGUGAGAUGGAAAGUGCACAAGAACCAUGAGACAGUGAGCAUUGUUGAUGCCAGGCUAUGCAGAUGAUGUCGAGCGGGGAGUGGAGCAGCCGUCACCGUCAGUGAGAUAAGCUGCGCUUCCAGAGGAGCUGUCCAGGAGCCCCAGCCAGAGGAGAAAG